UACGGAGGGGGCUAGCGUUGUUCGGAAUUACUGGGCGUAAAGCGCACGUAGGCGGAUGUGUCAGUCAGGGGUGAAAUCCCGGAGCUCAACUUCGGAACUGCCUUUGAUACAGCACGUCUUGAGUCCGGAAGAGGUGGGUGGAAUUCCUAGUGUAGAGGUGAAAUUCGUAGAUAUUAGGAAGAACACCGGUGGCGAAGGCGGCAUCCUGGACCGGCAUUGACGCUGAGGCGCGAAAGCCAGGGGAGCAAACGGG
rnacentral:rRNA from 1 species